AUGCACUACAGAUUGUUUACUAAAGAAAAUUGUUUUAGGCGAAGAGUCGAAGACCUGAAGAUAAAUGUUGCUAAUCAAGACGAUGACCUGCACAACUCCUGGGAAACACGACCAACGCUGUGUGCCUGCAUGAUUGAUGAUCACAGAUAUGUUUACUUUGCUCAAAGAUCGUAUAGCAGUGUAUUGCUUCAUGCAUGCACUUUUUAUCAUCCAUUUUUAUUAUUCAAUUCUCUAUAUGGUCAUCAUAGAUGCUAUUACAGGGAUGUAUCAGUAUUUUUCAUGCGUUGUUGUAAAUAUAACUACCUUUGCACUGAUACAUAUGUGUUCUUUUCUUUUAACUAUCUCUUUUCAGGCUUGGAAGAAAAUUAA
rnacentral:rRNA from 1 species